GGACGGGUGAGUAACGCGUAGGUAACCUGCCUCUUAGCGGGGGGAUAACUAUUGGAAACGAUAGCUAAUACCGCAUAAAAGUCGAUAUCGCAUGAUGUUGACUUGAAAGGUGCAAUUGCAUCACUAAGAGAUGGACCUGCGUUGUAUUAGCUAGUUGGUGAGGUAACGGCUCACCAAGGCGACGAUACAUAGCCGACCUGAGAGGGUGAUCGGCCACACUGGGACUGAGACACGGUCCAGACUCCUACGGGAGGCAGCAGUAGGGAAUCUUCCGCAAUGGGCGAAAGCCUGACGGAGCAACGCCGCGUGAGUGAUGAAGGUCUUCGGAUCGUAAAACUCUGUUAUUAGGGAAGAACAUAUGUGUAAGUAACUGUGCACAUCUUGACGGUACCUAAUCAGAAAGCCACGGCUAACUACGUGCCAGCAGCCGCGGUAAUACGUAGGUGGCAAGCGUUAUCCGGAAUUAUUGGGCGUAAAGCGCGCGUAGGCGGUUUUUUAAGUCUGAUGUGAAAGCCCACGGCUCAACCGUGGAGGGUCAUUGGAAACUGGAAAACUUGAGUGCAGAAGAGGAAAGUGGAAUUCCAUGUGUAGCGGUGAAAUGCGCAGAGAUAUGGAGGAACACCAGUGGCGAAGGCGACUUUCUGGUCUGUAACUGACGCUGAUGUGCGAAAGCGUGGGGAUCAAACAGGAUUAGAUACCCUGGUAGUCCACGCCGUAAACGAUGAGUGCUAAGUGUUAGGGGGUUUCCGCCCCUUAGUGCUGCAGCUAACGCAUUAAGCACUCCGCCUGGGGAGUACGACCGCAAGGUGAAACUCAAAGGAAUUGACGGA
rnacentral:rRNA from 1 species